AUACUUACCUGCCAGGCGAGAUUCCAUGAUCCCAAAGGUGGUUUUCCCAGGGUGAGGCUCAUCCAUUGCACUCCGGCUGUGCUGACCCCGGCGAUUUCCCCAAAUGUGGGAAACUUGACUGCUUAAGGUGUGGUAGUGUGGGACUGCAUUUGCGCUAUCCCCUA
rnacentral:snRNA from 1 species